rnacentral:misc_RNA from 1 species
GAAUUUGGUCUGAGCGGUGAAGUAUCUCAUCGGCGGCGGCUCUAUUGAACGGUGAACGGCGUAUGACAAAUCCUCUGUUUCGAGGUUUUCGAAGACUUGCCUUACUUUCACUUAGCAAGCCUCUCUUCUCUUCUUCUACCUUUUCUAGGCACUUAAGUUUGUCCAAUUUAGUUAGACCAAUUCUUGGAAAUCCAGAAAAGUUUUUGAACUUGUCAAGGUUAGUGCUUAAGGAGAGGUUAAUC